GGCCAUAAAUACGUUGAAACACCGGUUCUCGUACGAUCACGAAGUUAAGCAACGUCGAGUUUGGUCAUUACCUCGAUGGGUGAAUGUUUGGGAAUGCUACGUACUGUA